UACGUAGGGGGCAAGCGUUGUCCGGAUUUACUGGGCGUAAAGAGCGUGUAGGCGGCCAAACAGGUCCGUUGUGAAAACUGGAGGCUCAACCUCCAGACGUCGACGGAAACCGUAUGGCUAGAGUCCGGAAGAGGAGAGUGGAAUUCCCGGUGUAGCGGUGAAAUGCGCAGAUAUCGGGAAGAACACCUAUGGCGAAGGCAGCUCUCUGGGACGGUACUGACGCUGAGACGCGAAAGCGUGGGGAGCGAACAGG
rnacentral:rRNA from 1 species